rnacentral:piRNA from 1 species
UACAAAAAAGAUUCACCAAAAACUCACGGCC